UGGGGAAUUUUGGACAAUGGGCGCAAGCCUGAUCCAGCCAUGCCGCGUGCGGGAAGAAGGCCUUCGGGUUGUAAACCGCUUUUGUCAGGGAAGAAACGAGUUUCUCUAAUACAGAGACUUAAUGACGGUACCUGAAGAAUAAGCACCGGCUAACUACGUGCCAGCAGCCGCGGUAAUACGUAGGGUGCAAGCGUUAAUCGGAAUUACUGGGCGUAAAGCGUGCGCAGGCGGUCUUGUAAGACAGUCGUGAAAGCCCCGGGCUUAACCUGGGAACUGCGAUUGUGACUGCAAGGCUAGAGUGUGUCAGAGGGGGGUGGAAUUCCACGUGUAGCAGUGAAAUGCGUAGAGAUGUGGAGGAACACCGAUGGCGAAGGCAAUCCCCUGGACCUGUACUGACGCUCAUGCACGAAAGCGUGGGGAGCAAACA
rnacentral:rRNA from 1 species